GGGAUGGGGGGGCAUCCACAGCCUCUCUGGGCAACCUGUGCCAGUGCCUCACCAGCCUCACGGUGAAGAAUUUCCUAUGUGCUUUGGUGCCCAGAUCAAGCAAACCAAGAAACACAGCUCUUGGGGCUGCGUCUCAAUCAUUUCCUUUAGUAAUAGCAUGUGCACUGUCUGUGUUAGUGGAAAGGGAAAAUGAAACUCAGGCAUGCCAACAGAAUGACAAAGAAAAAUAGUAGUGGGGCUGGCUGCUGUCUUCAAGGUCUGAGUGCCCCCCUUUAUGUUUCAUGGUUUAUUGGAACAUGUAAGAGGCUUUUAUAUAAAUAGGAACCUGCUUCAAAAAUUGUUCAUUGUAGUGCUUUACAGCAGGGGAUGCGUGGGGAUUAUGUAGUAGAAUACAAAUGAAAAUACAAUUCAACUUUGUUCAGUAUCUAUUGAAAAGCAAACAGGAACUUAUUUAUCUACCUGUAGUCUUCUUCAGUACUUUUUUUUUUUUAGGCAGGUGGGGAAACUGUCACAUUUUUCAUUUCUGUCAAUGUUAAUUCAUAUUGUAUAGUCAAAUGAGUAGCCACACCAACUUCAGUGGGAUUGUGUGUAUAAGCGCUGCUUAUCAUGGCAUACUGAUGGAACUGACUUUAAACUGACGUUUAAGAAGUAAUUAUCCACUCAGGCCAUAAAAAAGAAACUAUUUUUACAAUGGAAAACUUCCUGUUGUGUAUAAACAUAAAGAAUUAACUGUAUUGAUUAACUCAACUUUUAGAACAGCCUAAUUAGAAAAGCUCCUGAUAAGGAAACAUGGAUUAAUGACUGUGUUUAUUGGGAUGCAAAUACAGUGAAAAAGAAAUAAACACCAACUGUGAACUCAAGGUAAAAAAGAAAUUCAGUUUGUGAAUUACAAUCAACAUUGUACAGCAACAGAACUGCUUAGCACAGAGAAAGGAAGGGAGGCCACAGGAGCUGCUGUUUUCUCCUGUUGAUAUAACGUUAUUAAUGUUGAUGGCAUUUCUCCAGCAAAUAUUUCACAUAAAUCAUGUAUCAUCACUUGUGACAGCAUGAUGGCAUAAAAGAAUAUUACCGUUGUCUGUGAUCUACCUAAAGCUAACUGCUUGCAUAGGUUUCAUUAGUUUUCAACUGACAGGAAAAAAACUGAUUAAAAACGUGGUUUUAUGUUCUGAUGUACACUUCUCAGAUGGGGUUAAGACUUUUAAAUCUUCUCCCUCUCUUCUGUCCUCACCCAUUCCAGAUCUCUGUAAUGUCCUUUUUCUAUUAUUCUAACUUCUUGUAUCUCUUCCCACAUGUAGGGUUGUUUGACACAUCUCUAACUCCAUCCUUUCUAUCUUUGUAUUCCACCUGCUAUGGAUCUGUUGGUCUUUCCCUUUCCUUAUUGCUUCCAGAUCUACUCUGUCUUCAAAGCUAUACGAUUUCAGGGGCUUUCUGUACCUGUUUAGGACUCUCACUAUUGCAUAGUUUCUUCAGUACUCUGAUUUUAACUCUUGUCUAAUCCAAUGUUUCCAGACCUGUAGUCCUUAUGUUUUGUUUCCUUGUUUUCAAGGACAGGUUUCUAAUGCCUUGAUUUGAAAAAAUCAGGAAUUACCUACCUAGCCCAUCCCUAGAUUGAUGCUCCAGGUGUCAGCUACUGCUGAUUUACAAUCAUGCUAUUUUCCAUGAGGUCAGCACAUUCUUGUGCCUGGAAGAGGUCCAUAUCUGCUAGCUUUCCAGCAAGAAAUGCUAUAAAUGGCUGCUACAACAUCAGUGGCACAAAAGAAUGUGGGAUAUGACACCAUCUAUCCCCUGUGCUGCUCAGAAGAUGUGUCCUCUGAGAGUUGAGGUCUGCAGAUGGAGCAGGUAAAAAAAAAAAGAAAAAAAAGCUCUAAGUUAGGAGAUGACAAUGCAGUUGUAUUACCCUCCACCCAAAUUCAUGCCCUUGUAGCCUCCUUUGUCCCUGGAGCAAAUUCAAAGAAGCUGAAAGCAGCAGCAGGGGAAGGAAAUACUCUGAGAAAUUUGCCAAAAUAGUGACAUUAUGAUUGACUGAAGGAGCACAGCUGCCACAGGAGAGGAUGCAGACUUCGAGGUCGGGCAUGAAUCUUCACUGCUACAGGGCAUACACUGUCAGAUAUGUGAGGAUAACCCAGAAAUCACCUUCUCCUUCACGAUCAUUAAGCAAAAGCUGUGCAGAGAUUACGGCACCCGAGAAUCCAGAGUUUAGACUCAGAGGAGCUGCAGGAAAGGACAAAUCCUUGUGAUAGAAUGCAAGUACUGUCACUUCUUAUGAAGGGAGAGAAGAUCUGCUGGAAUUUAGUACAAGACACAGGUCUGCCUCUUUGCUGUGAUAAUAUUAGGCAAAACUUGGGGAAAAAAGGGAAGAACAACUGACUUUCUUGAGAUUUUACUGCUGGAUGUAUUGGAGAUGGUGAUCACAUUGUAGCUGUUAUGAUCCAAAGAUAUAAUCAAGUGAUCUUUCUGGGGAAGCUAAUUUACAUAAAAAUUAUUUUAUUAGAGAUGUAUACAAUUGAUGAAAAUGCAGGCAAUUUGGAGAGCACAUAAGCUCUUCUCCAACUGUCCUAUUGACAUUUUCUUGUGUGAUGUUUUUAACUUUUACAAAUAUUUCAAAAGAUCUAAACAUACCUAUUUUAUAUACCCUUGGUCAAAUUUGUAACACAAUUAAAAAUAUACCUCCUUAGCUUACAAAUAAACUAAUGUUAUUCCCUACCGACUUGCAUCAGCUUACUUUAAGGUUAUUAUUGUUUAUAAUUUUUGUUCUGAAAUGCAAAUUCAUGGUCCCACAUGUGGUGCACCCUGUCAUGUUAGUUACUACAGAAAUAAAGAAUAAAAUGUGGCCACAGGCUAAGUUAAUACCUGCUAUGUUUUUCAUCUCGUGCAUUGGUGGAGUAACCUUACCGUAUUUUUAGAUGACCUCUAACGGUUUGCAAUCAGCACAUACCAUAAUGACGUAACAAAUUACCUAAUGUUUGCAUAAAUGCAAAAAUCCUUAAUGUAAGCAUGCCCAAGGUUAUUUGAAAUUCCAUUGCUAAAACAGAACAGGCAGUAAGUGCCACUGCAGUCCAUUUUAGAAGGACUGAUCUUGUUUCUAGUUUUCAGACAUGUCCACAAUUCUCCUGUAUUUCAAGGCCAAUACUUUCCAAAAAAGAAAUCUAAAUUUUAAGUGUGCAAUAUUAUUUUAUUUUAGUGCACGUGGAGAGUUUGCCUCCUAGACAUCCACCUUACAUCAGUAUUGUACUUCCACAAAAUAUGAAGAGAGUUUCAUAGUCGCUUUGGACUUAACUGGCAUAAUAUUAGUUGGCAUUAAUUGCAAUGAACAGCGUAUUUCCGGCGUAGCAAGUGCUAGGAAUGCCACUUCAAAAGCAGCUUUUCUACCAUGAGGAGGAGACCUCACUCACAAAAGAGUUAAUUUUAGUGAAGAGGUUCUAAUUGAGAGAUUUUCCAGCUCUCAUUUUCACACAUGUUGGUUGCAGAGCUGUCUGGUCUUUUAUAUUUGCAUAUGUUUUGCCCAUUAAAUUUGUCGGUAUCACAGAAGUUAUAAGAAUUAAAGGCUUUACCAGAAAAGAGAGCUACUUCGUGAGAGGUCACAAGUUCAAUUUACAGCAUGUCAGCAACUCUAAGGGGAGUUGUACAGGGGCAGGGGAACAUUUUUGUUAAGAAAAAAACCUCCUUAUUGUUUAUUAACCGUCAAUAAUUUAUAAGGAAAGUAAUAAAAUUACUGCAUUUUUUACCCCAAUUCAAUUUGAAAACAAAAAGUAAAUAUUUUUUCCCCGUUAAUGAGAAAUCCUGUAUUCCACUUAGUUACAUUCUC